rnacentral:rRNA from 1 species
AACGAGCGCUGGCGGCAGGCCUAAAACAUGCAAGUCGAACGAUGUAGCAAUACAUAGUGGCGCACGGGUGCGUAACGCGUGGGAAUAUGCCCUCCACUACGGAACAACGUCGGGAAACUGACGCUAAUACCGUAUAAUGACUCCGGUCCAAAGAUUUAUCGGUGAAGGAUUAGCCCGCGUCUGAUUAGGUAGUUGGUGAGGUAACGGCUCACCAAGCCGACGAUCAGUAGCUGGUCUGAGAGGAUGAUCAGCCACACUGGAACUGAGACACGGUCCAGACUCCUACGGGAGGCAGCAGUUAGGAAUAUUGGACAAUGGGGGAAACCCUGAUCCAGCCAUGCCGCGUGAGUGAAGAAGGCCUUAGGGUUGUAAAGCUCUUUCGUCUGUGAAGAUAAUGACAGUAGCAGAAGAAGAAGCCCCGGCUAAAUUCGUGCCAGCAGCCGCCGUAA